rnacentral:rRNA from 1 species
GACGAACGCUGGCGGCGUGCCUAAUACAUGCAAGUCGAACGCUGAAGGAGGAGCUUGCUUCUCCGGAUGAGUUGCGAACGGGUGAGUAACGCGUAGGUAACCUGCCUGGUAGCGGGGGAUAACUAUUGGAAACGAUAGCUAAUACCGCAUAAGAGUAGAUGUUGCAUGACAUUUGCUUAAAAGGUGCAAUUGCAUCACUACCAGAUGGACCUGCGUUGUAUUAGCUAGUUGGUGAGGUAACGGCUCACCAAGGCGACGAUACAUAGCCGACCUGAGAGGGUGAUCGGCCACACUGGGACUGAGACACGGCCCAGACUCCUACGGGAGGCAGCAGUAGGGAAUCUUCGGCAAUGGACGGAAGUCUGACCGAGCAACGCCGCGUGAGUGAAGAAGGGUUUCGGAUCGUAAAGCUCUGUUGUAAGAGAAGAACGAGUGUGAGAGUGGAAAGUUCACACUGUGACGGUAUCUUACCAGAAAGGGACGGCUAACUACGUG